CCUACGGGUGGCAGCAGUGGGGAAUAUUGGACAAUGGGGGGAACCCUGAUCCAGCGACGCCGCGUGAGUGACGAAGUCCUUCGGUGUGUAAAGCUCUAUCAGCAGGGAAGAAAAUGACGGUACCUGAGUAAGAAGCCCCGGCUAACUACGUGCCAGCAGCCGCGGUGAUCCGGGGGGGGCAAGCGUUAUCCGGAUUUACUGGGUGUAUAGGGAGCGUUGUCGGUGCAGCAAGUCUGAUGGGAAAGGUCGGGGCCCAACCGCGGGAGUGCAGUGGAAACUGUUGAACUUGAGUACAGGAGAGGUAAGCGGAAUGCGUGGUGUAGCGGUGAAAUGCGUAGAUAUUAGGAGGAACACCGGUGGCGAAGGCAGCGUACUGGACUGUAACUGACGUUGAGGCUCGAAAGCGUGGGUAUCGAACAGGAUUAGAUACCCGUGUAGUC
rnacentral:rRNA from 1 species